UACGUAGGGGGCAAGCGUUGUCCGGAUUCAUUGGGCGUAAAGAGCGUGUAGGCGGCCAUGUAGGUCGGGUGUGAAAACUGGAGGCUCAACCUUCAGAGGUCGACCGAAACCAUCUGGCUAGAGUCCGGGAGAGGAGAGUGGAAUUCCUGGUGUAGCGGUGAAAUGCGCAGAUAUCAGGAAGAACACCCGUGGCGAAAGCGGCUCUCUGGAACGGUACUGACGCUGAGACGCGAAAGCGUGGGGAGCGAACAGG
rnacentral:rRNA from 1 species